rfam:Schistosoma rodhaini strain Burundi genome assembly, scaffold: SROB_scaffold0007802
AUCCAACUGACGAAUCCCAAAUAGGACGAAACGCGCGUCCUGGAU